AAUUUAUAAAAAAAAGAAUAGGUGUGCUCCUGGCACAAGCAGCUUCUUUUGAUACAACACUAGACACAAACAUGCACACACGUGCAUUGGCCGCAACUAUGCACACAUGUAAAUACAUAUAUGUAUCCAUGAAAAUACCUUCCUGCUAUCUACACACAUAUACAAGUAGUGAUUUCAAAAGUUAGACCAAGUAGUUGAAUUGGAGAAUUCUUUCCAAUUCAACUAUUUUGGACUCAAUUUUGACAUUCAUUUAAUUCACCACCGUCCACUCCAUAGUGAUAGAGCAUUGUGAGUUUG